rnacentral:lncRNA from 1 species
UCGGGCUCGUGCGGGUCUCUACAAAGCGGGCGGGCGCGAGGCGUAGUGCUGGUCUUCCUCAGCGCUGUGCUGCCAUGUUUUGCGGGCUUGGUGCAUUCCUUGGAGAGCGCCAGUUUUUAGAAGGGAGGUUGCUGCCUAUCUCCUAAUGAUUAAUUAUACACCAGAUUGAAAUCAUAUCCAUGCAUGUGUGAUGCAGUGGGGCUCCCUGGUUGUGCUGAGGGAGAGGAGCAUAGCCUGAAGGGUGUGCGUGGCUGCCAUUUUGUGGGCUGAGGGACUGCUCAGGGCUGUGUGGUGUAGGCAUGGUGGCUGUGGAGCUGCCUGCAGCCCACUGAGCUCAGUGCGACGUGUGGAAGCUGGCCACAAUAUCAACACCCAUCUUCCUUCAGAGCCUCGCUGUGAUUCUGAUCUAACAAAAUCACAGCUGAACAGUUUCGCCAGCUUCAGCUGAUUUCUUCUUGAUGUCCUUUGACAGAAGGUUUCAGCAUUUGUUCCAGCUUCCCACCCAUUCCUAUUGAUAGAGCAAUAAAGG